ACUCUACAGUAGCCGCGCGGCCAGGGUAACCGCGGGCUCGCGUGGGUGCUGCUGGCUACCUGUACAACUUCGUGCUCCGGCGUCACCAGCUAGCUAAAUCCUCGCAACGGUUCUGGGCGAUAGGGGCCGUUUUUGUCCCCCUUCUUCAGCAGAUGAGGGAAUUUGUUUCAAAAAGUUGUUACCUGCUCACGGAAACAGACGUCCUAAGCUAUUAACACAAUCUCCAGCUGUGUUCUAACCAAGACAGGAACCGAAGGGAACAGUAAAAAAUCAUUUUCCGUGCUGCGCUGGGUCUUUUUCUUUGGAAUUUUAAGAAGUUCUGUGAGCUAAAGACCAAUGACUUCCUACAAAUCUUGAAGGACUCCAGGACUCAUCACCAUAGCAGACCAUGCAUCCUUUUUAAGAUGCUUGAUGUCCAGGACUUUGAAACAGCUGAUUUCUUUUUAACCACCUCUCAAUAGGAUUCAUGGAAAAAACUCUGACAAGCACAGAUUUCUGAAAACUUUAAGGUCAUACCACUGGACUCGAGAAAUAUUACUGAACACUUGUUCUGAAGGCUGAUCCUAGACAGCAAGACUCAGAGAAUUGAGAGAAGACAAAAACAUUCAUCUAAUCGGGGCGGCUGGGUGGGGUGAAGUGAACCCAGCCUGAUUACCCUUAGCAUCUAACUCCACAGAAACUCUGCUCUCUAUUUUCUCAAUCUUCUCCAAUUCUUUAUGAAGGGGUUCAGGAAAUGCCGCCCCAAAAUAUGGUGCUUUGGUGUAAUACUUUGAGCUGAAGACACUUGAAAACAGUAUAUGCAGGGAGACGCUUUCUCUGAACUCCCCUUAUCUGUCUAAAGAUAGAUACCGCAAAGGAACUCAAUUUGUCAUCAAUUUUCCAUCAGUGAAACUCUUCCAGGAGUUUCAUCCACCAGUGAAGCUUAUCUCAAUCACAAGAGAAGAGACUAGAAGCCCACACCACACUUAGACAAAUGUCACAAACGAUCAUCUGUUCUUCUAAGGGCCAUUCAUCUUUUCCCAAAAUCAUUUACUCUGCCUGAAAUUGGCUACAUCCCUGGCUUCCUUCUCGCCUAUGUAGAGGGUAUAUAAGCUCCUAAAUCUCCCGGUUUUUCAGGUAAAGAAGAUAAAAUUUGGGAACUUAAAACUUGGCAAAGAAGGAAAUCCUUUUGGCAAUAUCAUAAAGAGGCCCAUUGUCACCAGAAGUGUAUAGUUUCUAACAGAUUUAUACAUUGGAAGUUGAUUUUGCUCCUAAUUUCAACAUGCCUAAUGAAAUAAAUAAUCAAAACAGUCUAAAAUUCUUCCUCCUCUCUGCCUCCUGCAAAAAGACAGCGUCUGGUAUUGUCCAC